AACGCACAUUGCGCCCUUUGGUAUUCCAUAGGGCAUGCCUGUUCGAGCGUCGUCUCAAACCUUCAAGCCUAGCUUGGUGUUGGGUGACUGUCCCGCGUUACCGCGCGGACUCGCCUCAAAGUCAUUGGCAGCAGACUCGGUAGCUAAUUGCGCAGCACAUCGCGCCGGAAGCUCCCUGUCCGCUAUCCACGAGCACAGUCUCAUCAGUUUUUGACCUCGGAUCAGGUAGGGAUACCCGCUGAACUUAA
rnacentral:misc_RNA from 2 species